rnacentral:ncRNA from 1 species
GGUGUCCGGUGUUUCCCCGCCGGAAGAAUAGGGAAGAGGGGUGAAAUUCCCCCGCGGUCACGCCGCUGUGUAGGACGAAUCAUAUCCAUUUCAUAUCACUGUGAAAAUGGGAAGAUCGGAUAUGGUAGAGACUCCUGAGCCAGAAGACCUGCCUGUGGAU